ACUUGCUGGGACAGCUGACUGGCUGCGUCCUGGUGUUGAGCAGGAACUUCGUGCAGUACGCCUGCUUCGGGCUCUUUGGAAUCAUAGCUCUGCAGACGAUUGCCUACAGCAUUUUAUGGGACUUGAAGUUUUUGAUGAGGAACCUGGCCCUGGGAGGAGGCCUGUUGCUGCUCCUAGCAGAAUCCCGUUCUGAAGGGAAGAGCAUGUUUGCGGGCGUCCCCACCAUGCGUG
rnacentral:misc_RNA from 1 species